UGCCGAGGUAGUCUAGCCCGGAAAGGCGGUAGCCUCGAAAGCUACUGGCGCUCGCCGCCUCGGGAGUUCAAAUCUCCCCCUCGGCGUC
rnacentral:tRNA from 2 species